rnacentral:misc_RNA from 1 species
GUACUCUCAAGCUCUGCUUGGUGUUGGGCGUCUUGUCUAGCUACUAGACUCGCCUCAAAUGAAUUGGCAGCCAGUGUAUUGGUCUUGAGCGCAGCACAAUUUGCACUCUUACCAGCUAUAUCUGGCAUCCACAAGCCUUUUAUCAC